rnacentral:lncRNA from 1 species
AUUUCAGCCCUGACACCAAGGCAGGAGGCUAGGAGGUCUACAAAUAGCGACUGGGUAGCUGGUGUGAACACAGGGGGUACUGGGGGGGCUUAGCCCCCAAGGAAGAGGACCAGUUUUUCCCCAGCACCACCAUCAAGGCCUCGAGGCUCCCAGCUCCCUCUACAGCCUGUGGACUGACUUAGGGAAUCCCGAACGAUGACAGAAAAGGAGGUGCUGGAGUCCCCUAAGCCCUCCUUCCCAGCAGAGACUCGGCAAAGUGGGCUACAGCGGCUAAAGCAGUUACUCAGGAAGGGUUCUACAGGGACAAAGGAGAUGGAACUUCCCCCAGAGCCCCAGGCCAAUGGGGAGGCAGUGGGAGCUGGGGGUGGGCCCAUCUACUACAUCUAUGAGGAAGAGGAAGAGGAAGAAGAGGAGGAGGAGGAGCCACCCCCAGAACCUCCUAAGCUGGUCAACGAUAAGCCCCACAAAUUCAAAGAUCACUUCUUCAAGAAGCCAAAGUUCUGUGAUGUCUGUGCCCGGAUGAUUGUUCGUGAGUCAUGAAGGGAAGUGAA